rnacentral:lncRNA from 1 species
CAGUUGUCGGAUUUGUUUUAGUUAUCAUUGUAAUAAUAACUGUUCUAUAUUAUAGAAGGUUAGUAUACACCUUUUAUCAUUUCUACGUUUAAUAUCAAUAUACUUGCACCUGACGUAUGCUUAUUUGCCUACACAGAUAGGACGCAAUGAUGUGUCCAAAACGCAUUAACCGAUAGUCUAUAUACAUGUGCAAAUAAUUGUACUGCAUUCAUAUAUAACAUAAAUGUGAACCAAACGUAGUUUUAACCUAAUCUGAAAAUGAAUGAACAUAAACCUUUGUAAAUUUCCUGCGUCCGAACGGAUUAUUAGCCCAGUAUAGUUUAUUAGUAUUACAUUUCAAGGAAAGCUCAAGCUAAAACACGUAAGUUCCAAGACUGUAUUUAUACCUAAAUGCCAAAGGAGCUAUUUAACAAAACAAUAAAGGGUAUUCGUCAAGAACACUCUGUUUCAAGAAGUCAGAACAUUAGUUUCUUUUAAUUUCCCAAUUUGCAAACGGGGAAUUACGAAACUUAUUUUAUAAAUGUUUUCCUUUGGGUCUGACAUCAAGCUAACGUAACAAACAUCAUUUGGUAAACAGUGUAAAAAGACUACAAGUCUAAUCAAGUCUAAUCAUUUUGUAAAACAUAAACCUGAUUUUUUUGCAAAAAAAAAUAAUAAACAUAAAUUAUUUCUAUAUCAAAAAGGCUGAUGGACAAACAAUAAUGCUGUUCAACUUCAUACUUAGUACUUUGCAUGAUCUUUUUAACUUCUAUGAUUCGAGCUUCAAUAAUAAGCCUUUUGUAGACGAAACGCGCUUAAUGGAGUACUUAAUUUCCAUCCUGGUAUCUAUGAAAAAUUUACACCGAUUCUUGAAAAAUAUUCAAUUAAUAAUGUAUUGUAAUGUUAAACAGAUUUCUCUAAUCUUACUAUCAAAAAAUAUAUGAGUACCAAAUUAAUUAUUUUUUUUUUUUGUAGGUUCCAAAAAUUGACAAAGUGUAAAAAUAGGACAUGUUCAGGAUCAAAUACCAUUUAUGAUACACUGAGUUUACCAGCAAAUACCGCUGACAAUGCCAGUACAAGUAACAAUUAUAGUUCGUUAAACAUAAACGAUUGUCAGUCAUCAUAUGAUAUUAGAAGAUUAGAGGGAUUACAAAACAUUCCUUUAUCCACAAUUAGUACAGUGCAGGGAAACAACAGAAAAGUUCCGGAAAAUGAAAAAAAUUACGAAAAUACAAACCUCGUUUUUUAGAAAACACAAACCUCGUUUUUUAGAAACAGUAGAAUUUUCCUUAUAAAUGCGGUCUUCAAAGG